rnacentral:rRNA from 1 species
UACGGGGGGGGCAAGCGUUGUUCGGAAUUACUGGGCGUAAAGGGCGCGUAGGCGGCCUGCUAAGUCGGACGUGAAAUCCCUCGGCUCAACCGAGGAACUGCGUCCGAUACUGGUGGGCUUGAAUCCGGGAGAGGGAUGCAGAAUUCCAGGUGUAGCGGUGAAAUGCGUAGAUAUCAGGAGGAACACCUGCGGUGUAGACGGCUUACUGGACCAUAACUGACGCUGAGGCACGAAAGCGUGGGUAGCAAACAGG